GAUGAACGCUAGCGGGAGGCCUAACACAUGCAAGCCGAGCGGUAUUUGUUCUUCGGAACAGAGAGAGCGGCGCACGGGUGCGGAACACGUGUGCAACCUGCCUUUAUCUGGGGGAUAGCCUUUCGAAAGGAAGAUUAAUACCCCAUAAUAUAUUGAGUGGCAUCAUUUGAUAUUGAAAACUCCGGUGGAUAGAGAUGGGCACGCGCAAGAUUAGAUAGUUGGUGAGGUAACGGCUCACCAAGUCAAUGAUCUUUAGGGGGCCUGAGAGGGUGAUCCCCCACACUGGUACUGAGACACGGACCAGACUCCUACGGGAGGCAGCAGUGAGGAAUAUUGGACAAGGGGUUAGCGCCUGAUCCAGCCAUCCCGCGUGAAGGACGACGGCCCUAUGGGUUGUAAACUUCUUUCGUAUAGGGAUAAACCUACUCUCGUGAGAGUAGCUGAAGGUACUAUACGAAUAAGCACCGGCUAACUCCGUG
rnacentral:rRNA from 1 species